GGCGGCACCGCGCAGGGAGGAGAGAAAGAGAGAGAGAGCGGAGGAGCUUACAUCCUUUAUCAGGAGAUAAUCUAAUGUUAGAAAGUGUUUUUUUAACACUAAUUUGUUUUGUUAUUUCAAAAAAAGGACUGAAAACUUACAGGCUAAAUGGCACGGAGCGAGCUGAGUGCGUCAUUUCGCCGGAGACGCCAGAGGAAUUAAAGGGCAGCGUGAGGCCGAGGAGUCUGGCUGGGAUCUGAGAGGGAAGAAUUCAGCGUCCCCGCGGUGUAGACGGACCCCCUGACUUUGGUCCCCUGAAGGGAAAAGCUUGACUUUACGUAGACCGUUUUUUGCUGCUUCUCAUUGGUUGUUGCGUCAGUUCAUCUGUCCCAAAAGACGUUUCUUCCAGCUUCAGCUUUUUUUUUCUUUUCCCAUGUCUCCUGGAUUUGAGGUUCUGCCGGAAAAAAAAAAACAAGAUUCAGGUGAUGAUGCCAAACUUUAUUUUCCAUCAGAAAAGUUGGAGAAGUUUUCAGCCUCCACAGCUUUAACAGCCUUUCAAGAAGUCUGGAGUCUGGAUUGUUGAAAAGAGUCUGGUGGAGCCUUUUGGACAAUUUAAAUGGAUGUUUGCUGCUGCGCCACCUUGUUGCAACCUUAUGGAAAACAGUGUGUGAAUGUUGGUGUUUAUCGUGGGAUUCAGACACGUCUCCAUGUAAAUCAGGAGUCCUGCAGGGGAGCUGCAUUCUAAACCACCUGGAUGGAUACAGAAGAUUUACAAACAGAAAGAAACUGUUUUUUUUAGAUUUCUUGCAGGUUAACUUUUCUGAUUCAAUUAUCAGAUUUGUGACUAUUCAGUAACUUUGAAAUAUAUAGAGACUUUAUAAAUUAAAAUGAAUGUACCUUCAAUAUUUCAGAAAAGCACAAGAUUUCUUUUAGUUGAAUGCAACUCUAGCACUUUCUAAUUUCCAGACACAUAAUUUGGACAAAAAGCAUAUUUUUAAUGCCCAGUUUCUGCUGUCACACCUUGAAAGUGUAACAUCCUGUGAUUUUAUUUCACUCUAAUCCAAGUGGAAAGCAUUGGUUUUGGUGAACUAACGAGCCGCCUCCGCUGCUGUUUCCAAGGAAAUUAACCUCAUUAUUAACUUUUUACAUUCAAGUCCUUCUUCUAGGAAUGUAUUUUUAAUAAUUCAUGUAUCACACAUUUUAUGUCCGAUGUGUCUAAUACUCAGAUGUGUGACAGUUCUGUUCUGGAAAAUAUGCAGAUACAACUGAAUCUAUCUGUGUGAAGUGUUGAAAUUUAAAUCAUCAUCAUUGUCUUUUUUUCUUAAUGAAAUGAAUGCAAAAGCCA